rnacentral:rRNA from 1 species
GUGUAGCAAUACACGAGUGGCGCACGGGUGAGUAACGCGUGGAUAUCUGCCUUUUGGUUCGGAAUAACUCCGGGAAACUGGAGCUAAUACCGGAUGGUUCCUACGGGAUAAAGAUUUAUCGCCAAAAGAUGAGUCCGCGUACGAUUAGCUAGUUGGUGAGGUAAUGGCUCACCAAGGCGACGAUCGUUAGCUGGUCUGAGAGGACGAUCAGCCACACUGGGACUGAGACACGGCCCAGACUCCUACGGGAGGCAGCAGUGGGGAAUAUUGGACAAUGGGGGCAACCCUGAUCCAGCCAUGCCGCGUGAGUGAUGAAGGCCUUCGGGUUGUAAAGCUCUUUUGGCGGGGACGAUGAUGACGGUACCCGCAGAAUAAGCCCCGGCUAACUUCGUGCCAGCAGCCGCGGUAAGACGAAGGGGGCUAGCGUUGUUCGGAAUUACUGGGCGUAAAGCGAGUGUAGGUGGUUGUCAUAGUCAGGUGUGAAAGCCUUGAGCUCAACUCAAGAAAUGCACUUGAUACUGGGCGACUAGAGGACCGGAGAGGAUAGUGGAAUUCCCAGUGUAGUGGUGAAAUACGUAGAGAUUGGGAAGAACACCAGUGGCGAAGGCGGCUAUCUGGACGGUUUCUGACACUAAGACUCGAAAGCGUGG